UUGAAGAGUUUGAUCAUGGCUCAGAUUGAACGCUGGCGGCAGGCCUAACACAUGCAAGUCGAGCGGUAGCACAGAGAGCUUGCUCUCGGGUGACGAGCGGCGGACGGGUGAGUAAUGUCUGGGAAACUGCCUGAUGGAGGGGGAUAACUACUGGAAACGGUAGCUAAUACCGCAUAACGUCGCAAGACCAAAGUGGGGGACCUUCGGGCCUCAUGCCAUCAGAUGUGCCCAGAUGGGAUUAGCUAGUAGGUGGGGUAACGGCUCACCUAGGCGACGAUCCCUAGCUGGUCUGAGAGGAUGACCAGCCACACUGGAACUGAGACACGGUCCAGACUCCUACGGGAGGCAGCAGUGGGGAAUAUUGCACAAUGGGCGCAAGCCUGAUGCAGCCAUGCCGCGUGUGUGAAGAAGGCCUUCGGGUUGUAAAGCACUUUCAGCGGGGAGGAAGGCGACAAGGUUAAUAACCUUGUCGAUUGACGUUACCCGCAGAAGAAGCACCGGCUAACUCCGUGCCAGCAGCCGCGGUAAUACGGAGGGUGCAAGCGUUAAUCGGAAUUACUGGGCGUAAAGCGCACGCAGGCGGUCUGUCAAGUCGGAUGUGAAAUCCCCGGGCUCAACCUGGGAACUGCAUUCGAAACUGGCAGGCUAGAGUCUUGUAGAGGGGGUAGAAUUCCAGGUGUAGCGGUGAAAUGCGUAGAGAUCUGGAGGAAUACCGGUGGCGAAGGCGGCCCCCUGGACAAAGACUGACGCUCAGGUGCGAAAGCGUGGGGAGCAAACAGGAUUAGAUACCCUGGUAGUCCACGCCGUAAACGAUGUCGAUUUGGAGGUUGUGCCCUUGAGGCGUGGCUUCCGGAGCUAACGCGUUAAAUCGACCGCCUGGGGAGUACGGCCGCAAGGUUAAAACUCAAAUGAAUUGACGGGGGCCCGCACAAGCGGUGGAGCAUGUGGUUUAAUUCGAUGCAACGCGAAGAACCUUACCUGGUCUUGACAUCCACAGAACUUAGCAGAGAUGCUUUGGUGCCUUCGGGAACUGUGAGACAGGUGCUGCAUGGCUGUCGUCAGCUCGUGUUGUGAAAUGUUGGGUUAAGUCCCGCAACGAGCGCAACCCUUAUCCUUUGUUGCCAGCGGUUAGGCCGGGAACUCAAAGGAGACUGCCAGUGAUAAACUGGAGGAAGGUGGGGAUGACGUCAAGUCAUCAUGGCCCUUACGACCAGGGCUACACACGUGCUACAAUGGCAUAUACAAAGAGAAGCGACCUCGCGAGAGCAAGCGGACCUCAUAAAGUAUGUCGUAGUCCGGAUUGGAGUCUGCAACUCGACUCCAUGAAGUCGGAAUCGCUAGUAAUCGUAGAUCAGAAUGCUACGGUGAAUACGUUCCCGGGCCUUGUACACACCGCCCGUCACACCAUGGGAGUGGGUUGCAAAAGAAGUAGGUAGCUUAACCUUCGGGAGGGCGCUUACCACUUUGUGAUUCAUGACUGGGGUGAAGUCGUAACAAGGUAACCGUAGGGGAACCUGCGGUUGGAUCACCUCCUU
rnacentral:rRNA from 1 species